rnacentral:rRNA from 1 species
AAUUAAUACACGCUAUGUGGGUGAAGUGGACGGACUAUCUGUGCCUGAAUCUCAAAGCCGGGGUAACCUGAGUCCGCUUUUUGUAGUGAGCCCGCGGUCUAUCAGCUAGAUUGGUGAGGUAAUCGGCUCACCAUAGGUCUAUGACUGGGUAGCUGGUCUGAGAGGACGACCAGGUCACACUGGAACUGAGCCAGGAUCCAGACUCCUAUACGGGAAGCAGCAGUGGGGAAUUUUGGACAAUGGGGGCAACCCUGAUCCUAGCCAUGCCGCGUGAAGUGAAGAAGGCCUUCGGGUUGUAAAGCUCUUUCGGCCGGGACGAAAUCGCAUGGGCGAAUAUCCUGUGUGGAUGACGGUACCGGAAGAAGAAGCACCGGCUAACUACGUGCCAGCAGCCGCGGUAAUACGUAGGGUGCGAGCGUUAAUCGGAAUUACUGGGCGUAAAGCGUGCGCAGGCGGUUUGUAAGCCAGAUGUGAAAUCCCCGGGCUCAACCUGGGAACUGCAUUUGGGACUGCAAGGCUUUGAGUACGGCAGAGGGGGGUAGAAUUCCUGGUGUAGCAGUGAAAUGCGUAGGAUCUCAGGAGGAAUACCGAUGGCGAAAGCAGGGCCCCCUGGGGUCGAUACUGAACGCUCAUGCACGAAAGCCUUGGGGAAGCAAAACCGGGAUUAGAUUAC